GCUAUGGCUUAGGCUGGCGGCUGUAGCUUUGGUUGGACCCUUUGCCUGCGAACUUCCAGGAGCAAGAGACAUUUCAUAGACCUUCCAGUGCACCUGGAACUCAUCAAUAAGACGUUUCACAAUAAUUACCUCUGAUAAGCAGAGUCUUGUGCCUGCUGGGAAUCUUCAAGGUGAUGGAUAACAACAUGCUGACAUUGAUUUGGAAGACAUCGAAGAGUAGAGAGCAGUUAGGAGACAAAGGUUUUUGAUAAAGCACGUGGACUGGAACUGAUCAAAGACACGUCUUAGGAAUGACAGCCCUUUUCUUUUUUUAAAUUUUUUCUUUCCUCUUUUUUCUUUUUUUAAGAGGCUGCAUGUCUACAGAUUGUGGUGAACAUUUCAAAACAUAUCUGAGCAAAUAACAGUAGAUAUUUGUCUCUCAGGAUGCAUCUGUGAGAAAUGUACUGAAAAAGUCUUAUCUAAAAACUAAUAAGAAACUCAAGGUUAAUAGGAGACAUAUUGUUUGAGAACUCCACACGCAAUAU